AACCCGGAGGUCUUGUACUUCCUUCAAAUGCAAUGUUGUACAUAGCACCUAUAUAUUCAUGUUGCAGGUUUCAUAGCUAUGUAUGCUACACUUGCCAGUCGUGAUGUGGACUAUUGUUUGAUUCCAGAUUCCCCCUUUCUUUCUUAAAAUGACGAGGUGGACUUUUUGAGUUCAUUGAAAAACGACUUAGAAAAUGGACAUAUGGUUAUUGUGAUUGCUGAGGAAGCAGGACAUGAUCUUCUUUUAAAGAGCUUGCAAUCCAUGAACCAACAAGAUGCUUCAAGAAACAAGCAACUUAAAGACGUUGGGUUAUGGAUAUCUCAGAAGAUCAGGGUAUUACUCGCAAUCCUACAGAGUUAGUGCUUGGAAACUUCCAAAGCUAGACUCCAAUGAGGCCAUGAGAGCAGCAAAGCUUGCAAAGCUAGACACAAGUAAAUUUCUAGAUGUAUUCUGCUAUGAGAGUACUAUUAGAUGUACUCCUUUUGGGGAUAAAAGAUUAACUUUGCACAAUUCAUUUUGGUGCAUGAUGUGAAUUAUAACAAUUUCUUCUAUAUAUAUAUUGAUCAGUUAAUUUGGUCUUUUUUGAUUC